rnacentral:rRNA from 1 species
CACUCCUACGGGAGGCAGCAGUGGGGAAUUUUGGACAAUGGGCGAAAGCCUGAUCCAGCAAUGCCGCGUGCAGGAUGAAGGCCUUCGGGUUGUAAACUGCUUUUGUACGGAACGAAAAAGCUCCUUCUAAUACAGGGGGCCCAUGACGGUACCGUAAGAAUAAGCACCGGCUAACUACGUGCCAGCAGCCGCGGUAAUACGUAGGGUGCGAGCGUUAAUCGGAAUUACUGGGCGUAAAGCGUGCGCAGGCGGUUAUGUAAGACAGAUGUGAAAUCCCCGGGCUCAACCUGGGAACUGCAUUUGUGACUGCAUGGCUAGAGUACGGUAGAGGGGGAUGGAAUUCCGCGUGUAGCAGUGAAAUGCGUAGAUAUGCGGAGGAACACCGAUGGCGAAGGCAAUCCCCUGGACCUGUACUGACGCUCAUGCACGAAAGCGUGGGGAGCAAACAGGAUUAGAAACCCCGGUAGUCCCAUGAU